rnacentral:rRNA from 1 species
GACGAACGCUGGCGGCGUGCCUAAUACAUGCAAGUAGAACGCGGAAGAGAGGAGCUUGCUCUUCUUGGGUGAGUUGCGCACGGGUGAGUACCGCGUAGGUAACCUGCCUGGUAGCGGGGGAUAACUAUUGGAAACGAUAGCUAAUACCGCAUAAAAUGAAUUAUCGCAUGAUAAUCCAUUGAAAGGUGCAAAUGCAUCACUACUAGAUGGACCUGCGUUGUAUUAGCUAGUUGGUGGGGUAACGGCUCACCAAGGGGACGAUACAUAGCCGACCUGAGAGGGGGAUCGGCCACACUGGGACUGAGACACGGCCCAGACUCCUACGGGGGGCAGCAGUAGGGAAUCUUCGGCAAUGGACGGAAGUCUGACCGAGCAACGCCGCGUGAGUGAAGAAGGUAUUCGGAUCGUAAAGCUCUGUUGUAAGGGAAGAACGAGUGUGAGAGUGGAAAGUUCACACUGUGACGGUAUCGUACCAGAAAGGGACGGCUAACUACGU